AACGAACGCUGGCGGCAUGCCUAACACAUGCAAGUCGAACGAGACCUUCGGGUCUAGUUGCGCACGGGUGCGUAACGCGUGGGAACCUUCCCUUAGGUUCGGAAUAACUCCCCGAAAGGGGUGCUAAUACCGGAUAAUGUCUUCGGACCAAAGAUUUAUCGCCUUUGGAUGGGCCCGCGUUGGAUUAGCUAGUUGGUAGGGUAAAAGCCUACCAAGGCUACGAUCCAUAGCUGGUCUGAGAGGAUGAUAAGACACACUGGGACUGAGACACGGCACAGACUACUACGGGAGGCAGCAGUGGGGAAUAUUGGAAAAUGGGAGAAAGCAUGAUACAGCAAUGCCGGGUGAGUGAUGAAGGCAUUAGGGUUGUAAAGCUCUUUUAACCGGGAUGAUAAUGACAGUACCGGGAGAAUAAGCUCCGGCUAACUCCGUG
rnacentral:rRNA from 1 species